UACGAAGGGGGCUAGCGUUGUUCGGAUUUACUGGGCGUAAAGCGCACGUAGGCGGAUCGUUAAGUGAGGGGUGAAAUCCCAGGGCUCAACCCUGGAACUGCCUUUCAUACUGGCGAUCUUGAGUCCGGAAGAGGUGAGUGGAACUCCUAGUGUAGAGGUGGAAUUCGUAGAGAUUAGGAAGAACACCAGUGGCGAAGGCGACUUACUGGACUGUAACUGACGCUGAGGCAUGAAAGCGUGGGGAGCAAACAGG
rnacentral:rRNA from 1 species